GACAGAGGCCUCAAGCGUUAGGCGGAAUCACUGGGCUUAAAGCGUGUGUAGGCGGAUCGUUAAGUGUCUUGUGAAAUCCCACGGCUCACCCGUGGAACGGCUGGGCAUACUGGCGAUCUUGGGCCAACUAGGGGCAACUGGAACAAGCGGUGGAGCGGUGAAAUGCGUAGAUAUCGCUUGGAACGCCAAAGGUGAAAACACUUUGCUGGGCCGAAACUGACACUGAUAGACGAAAGCUAGGGGAGCAAAUGGG
rnacentral:rRNA from 1 species